rnacentral:rRNA from 1 species
GAUGAACGCUGGCGGCGUGCCUAAUACAUGCAAGUCGAGCGAACAGACGAGGAGCUUGCUCCUCUGACGUUAGCGGCGGACGGGUGAGUAACACGUGGAUAACCUACCUAUAAGACUGGGAUAACUUCGGGAAACCGGAGAUAAUACCGGAUAACAUGUUGAACCGCAGGGUUCAACAGUGAAAGUCGGUCUUGCUGGCACGUAUAGAGGGAUCCGCGCCGCAUUGGCUAGUUGGUAAGCUAACGGCUUACCAAGGCAACGAUGCGUAGCCGACCUGAGAGAGUGAUAGGCCACCCUGGAACUGAACCACCGUCCCGGCUCCUACGGGAGGCAGCAGUAGGGAAUCUUCCGCAAAGGGCGAAAGUCUGACGGAGCAGCGCCGCGUGAGUGACAAAGGUCUUCGGAUCGUAAAACUCUGUUACUAGGGAAGAACAAAUGUGUAAGUAACUAUGCACGUCUUGACGGUACCUAAUCAGAAAGCCACGGCUAACUACGUG